CGUGUAGGCGGUCAGGUAAGUGGAAUGUGAAAUGCCCCGGCUCACCCGGGGACCGGCAUCUCAAACUGCCUGGCUUGAGUAUGGGAGAGGAUGGAGGAAUUCCUGGUGUAGCGGUGAAAUGCGUAGAUAUCAGGAGGAACACCGGUGGCGAAGGCGUCCAUCUGGCCCAAUACUGACGCUGAGGCGCGAAAGCUAGGGGAGCAAACG
rnacentral:rRNA from 1 species